rnacentral:rRNA from 1 species
GACGAACGCUGGCGGCGUGCCUAACACAUGCAAGUCGAGCGGGGUCCAUCCGGCAGCAAUACUGGGGAAGACCUAGCGGCGAACGGGUGAGUAACACGUGAGAAACCUGCCCCGAAGUCUGGGAUAACCCGAGGAAACUCGAGCUAAUACCGGAUGCCUUCUUCUGAUCGCAUGGUCGGAUGAAGAAAGAUUUAUCGCUUCGGGAGGGUCUGCGGCCUAUCAGCUAGUUGGCGGGGUAACGCCCACCAAGGCGUCGACGGUAGCUGGUCUGAGAGGACGAUCAGCCACACUGGGACUGAGACACGGCCCAGACUCCUACGGGAGGCAGCAGUGGGGAAUAUUGCGCAAAUGGGCGAAAGCCCUGACGGCAGCAAACGCCGCGUGCGGGACUGAAAGGGCCCUU